rnacentral:piRNA from 1 species
UGCAGUUUCUGUUUACUCCCAUCCCUGCC